ACAUGUCUGUGAUGCUAAUUUCUAUUUACCUACAUUGUUUGAUUUUUCUCUGAGAACAUUGAAUCUAACUGAGACAUGU